AACGAACGCUGGCGGCAGGCCUAACACAUGCAAGUCGAACGCCGUAGCAAUACGGAGUGGCAGACGGGUGAGUAACACGUGGGAACGUACCCUUCGGUUCGGGAUAACUCAGGGAAACUUGAGCUAAUACCGGAUACGUCCGAGAGGAGAGAGAUUUAUUGCCGAGGGAUCGGCCCGCGUCUGAUUAGCUUGUUGGUGAGGUAACGGCUCACCAAGGCGACGAUCAGUAGCUGGCUGAGAGGAUGAUCAGCCACAUUGGGACUGAGACACGGCCCAAACUCCUACGGGAGGCAGCAGUGGGGAAUAUUGGACAAUGGGCGCAAGCCUGAUCCAGCCAUGCCGCGUGAGUGAUGAAGGCCCUAGGGUUGUAAAGC
rnacentral:rRNA from 1 species